AACUAACGCUGGCGGCGCGUCUUAAACAUGCAAGUCAAACGGGUAGCAAUACCAGUGGCGAACGGGUGAGUAAUACAUGGAUAACCUACCUUUAAGUUGGGAAUAACACAGAGAAAUUUGUGCUAAUACCGAAUGUGACGGUUCAGCAAAGGCUGGAUUGGUUAAAGCAGCAAUGCGCUUAGAGAUGGGUCCAUGGCUGAUUAGCUAGUUGGUGGGGUAAAGGCCCACCAAGGCGACGAUCAGUAGCCGGCCUGAGAGGGUGAACGGCCACAAUGGAACUGAGACACGGUCCAUACUCCUACGGGAGGCAGCAGUUAAGAAUCUUGCUCAAUGGGCGAAAGCCUGAAGCAGCGACGCCGCGUGAACGAUGAAGGUCUUCGGAUUGUAAAGUUCAGUAAGUAGGGACGAAAAAAUGACGGUACCUACCUAAAGCACCGGCUAACUACGUGCCAGCCGCCGCGGUAAUAC
rnacentral:rRNA from 1 species